rfam:Acidimicrobiia bacterium BACL6 MAG-120910-bin40 contig00082_1_120910-bin40, whole genome shotgun sequence.
UUGUGCGCAUCCAAGUUGCCAGAUGCUCAAGCAGCAUAUGAAAGCGCAUCUACAUUGAUUCCAACAAUCAUGGCCGGCACCAACUUUGUUUUGCAUUCUG